CGGGUGUAAAUUGUAGGAUUGAUUGCUUUGAUUAUUGGUUGGUUAACGUCCAGUGGAAAAUAUUUCAUGCAUGUUCAGGACGAGAACAAGUUAACAAUAAAUACAAUACAUGUAGGUAGGUUUUGCAAUAGAGGCAGGGCAUCCGCGAUGAUGGUCGGGAAAAUUUUAACUGACGCUAUACACAUUAUUUAUGUAUGUGCCUGUCCCAAGUCAGGAUCCUGUAAUUCAGUGGUUGUCGUUUGUUUAUGUGUUACAUAUUUGUUUUUUCGUUUUUUUUAAUAAGGCCGUUAGUUUUUCUCGUUUGAAUUGUUUUACAUUGUCUUAUCGGGUCCUUUUAUAGCUGACUAUGCG
rnacentral:lncRNA from 1 species